rnacentral:rRNA from 1 species
GACGAACGCUGGCGGCGUGCUUAACACAUGCAAGUCGAACGGAAAGGCCUGCAUUCCCUUGUGGUUUGCGGGUACUCGCGUGGCGAACGGGUGCGUAACACGUGAGUGAUCUGCCCCCAACUUGGGUAUAAGCCUGGGAAACUGGGUCUAAUUCCCGAUAGGACUGCAGGGUGGUGUCUGGGGUGGAAAAUGAUUUUCUAGUGGUAGGGGAUGAGCUCGCGGCCUAUCAGCUUGUUGGUGGGGUAAUGGCCUACCAAGGCGGCGACGGGUAGCCGGCCUGAGAGGGUUGACGUCCACACGGAGACAGGGCGACGACUCCGACUCUGGCGAGAGGUAGCAGUGGGGCCUAAAGGAUGAUGGGCGCGAUCGUGAUGCGGCGAGGCCGGGUGGGGGGUAGCGGCUGUCGGGAUGUGAACUAUUUUAGAACGCGAGGAAGCAACCUGAUUGUAAGGGUAGUGACGGUAGUGGCAGAGAAAGCACCGGCUAACUACGUG